GACGAACGCUGGCGGCGUGCUUAACACAUGCAAGUCGAACGGUGAAGCGCCUUCCUUUUUGGUGGGUGUGGAUGAGUGGCGAACGGGUGAGUAACACGUGGGUAACCUGCCCCCUUCUUCUGGAUAACCGCAUGAAAGUGUGGCUAAUACGGGAUAUUCUGGGUCUGUCGCAUGAUGGGUCUGGGAAAGAUAUUGUUUCGGUGGGGGAUGGGCUCGCGGCCUAUCAGCUUGUUGGUGGGGUGAUGGCCUACCAAGGCGGUGACGGGUAGCCGGCCUGAGAGGGUGGACGGUCACACUGGGACUGCGACACGGCCCAGACUCCUACGGGAGGCAGCAGUGGGGAAUAUUGCACAAUGGGCGCAAGCCUGAUGCAGCGACGCCGCGUGAGGGAUGGAGGCCUUCGGGUUGUGAACCUCUUUCGCCAGUGAAGCAGGCCUGCCUCGUUUGUGGGUGGGUUGACGGUAGCUGGAUAAGAAGCGCCGGCUAACUACGUG
rnacentral:rRNA from 1 species